rnacentral:rRNA from 1 species
ACGAACGCUGGCGGCGUGCCUAAUACAUGCAAGUCGAACGGCUUUUCUAUGGAAGCUUGCUUCCACUGAGAAGAUAGUGGCGAACGGGUGAGUAACACGUGGGUAACCUGCCCAUAAGAGGGGGGAUAACAUCCGGAAACGGGUGCUAAUACCGCAUAGUUUUCUUGAUCGCAUGAUCGGGAAAGGAAAGACGGCCUUUGUGCUGUCGCUUAUGGAUGGACCCGCGGCGUAUUAGUUAGUUGGUGAGGUAACGGCUCACCAAGACGAUGAUACGUAGCCGACCUGAGAGGGUGAUCGGCCACAUUGGGACUGAGACACGGCCCAAACUCCUACGGGAGGCAGCAGUAGGGAAUCUUCCGCAAUGGACGAAAGUCUGACGGAGCAACGCCGCGUGAGUGAAGAAGGUUUUUCCGGAUCGUAAAACUCUGUUGUCAGAGAAGAACAAGUUGGAGAGUAACUGCUCCAGCCUUGACGGUAUCUGACCAGAAAGCCACGGCUAACUACGUGCCAGCCGCUGC